UCCUCCUCUUCCGUUUCUCAUCUUCCUCUCAUUUGUGAACGUUUUCAAACAGUGAAUUUGGUGCCGCCAUUUUCUUCAAAUCGAACAGAAUUACUGUCAAACAUUUGUGCAGCACAGAUGAAAAUUUCUGCCGCUAUAAUUUUAAAGAUACUAAUAAAAAAAGCUUCCAGAGGUCAAAAAGGUCAGACCUUCUUCAAAUCAGACAAAAUUGGUGUCAAAUGUUUGUGCAACAAAUUUUUUUAUUUGUGCUGCUAUCAUUUCAAAGAUGUUAUUAAAAGUUUCCAAAGCUCACUGGAGGUCAAACGCCUUAAUCCUCCUCACAUUUGCAAAAUCAAACAAAUUUAGUUCCCAGAGGUCAUGUAAGGUCAGCCAGUUCCCCAUUUCCUUCAAAUAAGACAAUAUUGGUGUCGGUCAACUCGACCAAGUUUGUGCAGCAAAAAUUUUAGUUUGUGCUGCUUUUGAUUUGAAGAGAUUAAUGAAAGUUUAAAGGUCCAAAGGUCAACCAUUAGAUUUGAAGGUUUGGGGUCAAUUUCACUCGGGUUCGUUUUCAUUGUUGUGUUUGAUGCUGUUGUUCUUGUGCAGCUCUGUGCUGAUGUGUGUUUUUUUUUUAUGAGAAUACAUUAGGCGUUCUCACUUCUUAAAGUUUUAUUUCUCUUUAGAAUCGAGAAUGCAGAGUAUAAACAGAAACUAAAUCUAAAUCACAAUUUAGCAAUCUCACUCCUUAAGAUUGUUUCUCUUUACGAUUCUUUUUCCAUGUUCCUUAAGUUUUACUGCAUUUAAGUACUUCCAUGUACUUCAACCAAUGUCAACAAUUCAUAUUUCAAAACCUUCAGCUUCUGCUGGAGACUUAUGAUGCAAUUUUUGGUCAUUUCAACUUUCAUACUUUUUAAAAUAUUGUAACUUUCUGCCCCAUUGAAAUACACUGAAAUUCUUCAGAUUUCUACAAAAUUUUGCCCACCGCUGGAAUUUGAUUAGGAAACACUUUUGCUGAUGUAUCACAGAAACGACAGCAUCUCUGAUUUGUUUGGAGUCUGCAUGACCUUCUCUUCAUAUCAACAUUCGUUUCCAGUCCUUUCCUUUUCACCGUUUUUUAAUUAGGCUGGAUCCUUUGACACUGCAGUGUGAAAAUGUAACAAAUGUUGCACCUCCCAAUCCCCAAUCAAACCGGACUAUCAGGUGUGAAAACACUCCAAGUGAAUGGUUUUAGCUAAUUUUUAUCCAAGUGACACUUGGAUAAAAAUGUGUGCAAAUCUUUGUCUAUAUUCUGCUAAGGUUAAAACACACACACACACACACACACACAAUUUCCAAAGUGCGUUGUUUGUAUUGAAUAAGAAUUUAAAUUAAAAUUACAUGUAAAUAAGUUUGCAGCUAGUCAUUAAAAAUCACGGCAGCAACGGUUACAUAAGACAUAUUUGUUAUUCAGCCAUGGCACUAACAUCAUCCAUCAGCCAAUCAGAGGAGACGUCAUGUCUUGUUCAGGUGAUGAUGCGACAAACUCCUUAUACCUGGGAGCCGCUACGUAUCCAGCGUUUUGGGGAAAUUGUAGUUGCCGUUUUUACAGAAGAGCGUUAGAUUCAACAUGUUCAAAUGACACAACUUGUUAUGAACUGAGCAGUACUAUGAGAUGGAGCCAGCCGCUCAUUGUCUG